AUCAUAACCAAACAUAUCAAUUUUGAAAUUUACAAACUAAACAUUCAAAAAACCUAAUCUAUAUCAUCAUUUCCAUGUACUUUCAUUGUCAUGAUUGAUAUUUUCAAACAAGUUCUAAAAUAAGUUACGAAACAGAUAAUUCGCCGUGGGUCCCACCCUCUAUGUAGGGAUACCCCAUCUAGUCUUAACGAGCUUUGAAGCGUGAAA
rnacentral:sRNA from 1 species